rnacentral:rRNA from 1 species
AUUGAACGCUGGCGGCAGGCCUAACACAUGCAAGUCGAACGAGUGGCGGACGGGUGAGUAAUGUCUGGGAAACUGCCUGAUGGAGGGGGAUAACUACUGGAAACGGUAGCUAAUACCGCAUACCAUCGGAUGUGCCCAGAUGGGAUUAGCUAGUAGGUGGGGUAAAGGCGCACCUAGGCGAAGAUCCCUAGCUGGGAUGAGAGUAUGACAAUCACCACUGGAACUGAUACACUGUCCAGACUCCUCAGGGAGGCAGCAGUGUGGAAUAUUGCACAAUGGGCGCAAGCCUGAUGCAGCCAUGCCGCGUGUAUGAAGAAGGCCUUCGGGUUGUAAAGUACUUUCAGCGGGGAGGCGUUACCCGCAGAAGAAGCACCGGCUAACUCCGUGCCAGCAGCCGCGGUAAUAC